rnacentral:rRNA from 1 species
UACGUAGGGGGGCAAGCGUUGUCCGGAAUUAUUGGGCGUAAAGAGCGUGUAGGCGGCCAGAUAAGUCCGCUGUGAAAUCUCGAGGCUCAACUUCGAGCUGUCGGUGGAAACUAUCUGGCUAGAGUCCGGAAGAGGAGAAUGGAAUUCCUGGUGUAGCGGUGAAAUGCGCAGAUAUCAGGAAGAACACCCGUGGCGAAGGCGGUUCUCUGGGACGGUACUGACGCUGGAGACGCGAAAGCGUGGGGAGCGAACAGG